AACGUAGGAGGCGAGCGUUAUCCGGAUUUACUGGGCGUAAAGCGCGUGUAGGCGGUCUAGCAAGAUGGAUGUGAAAUCUCCCGGCUCAACCGGGAGAGGUCGUUCAAUACUGCUAGACUAGAGAGCGGUAGAGGGGGGUGGAAUUCCGGGUGUAGCGGUGAAAUGCGUAGAUAUCCGGAGGAACACCAGUUGCGAGGGCGGCCCCCUUGACCGUCUCUGACGCUCAGACGCGAAAGCUAGGGGAGCAAACGGG
rnacentral:rRNA from 1 species